AUCUCUGACAUGGAGGGACUUCUUGGGUAGUCUGAGGCCACCGUCUCUCGUGAGGGCGGUCUUGUGUGGGCGUCGGGACUGUCGGCGGGGGGUACGUCACGGCUGGGUUCCCGCGACUGGGCGGUGUUCGAGCCAGGGACCCGCCGGCUACCGUGCGCUGUGCAGGGAGCAGGCCCCAAGGUGGAGCGGUUGCCAGCAGCGCCGGCAGGCUGGGCUGGUGGCCAGUGGUCGCGGCGUCUGUGAGGUCCUAGCACCUGCUUCCGGUCGCCGUAUGCGUGGGACCGGAGCACAUAGAGAUACAAAUUGAUGAAUUCCAAAGGAAAAAUACUCCCUAUAGAGGUCGCUAAUUGGAGCCAACGGUGUACACAGCUACUAAAUUUGAAAUGAGUCAUUUUCAGAAAACUUCUGGGAUACGUCUCCCUUUCAAAUAAAAAUAGUAUGGUUUUAUUUAGAAUCUUCACAUAAACUGGAUACAGGCAUACCUGAAAUUUUGUGGAUUCAGUUCCAGACCAUCACAGUAAAGCAAACAUUGCAAUAAAAGACGGUGACACAUUUUGGGUUUUCCUCCUCUGAUGUGCAUAUUGUGAUACUGAACGAAGAUUUUCCCAAGCUCCUGCCGGGGAAGCAGCCCUUGUUUUGUACUUGGCAUUUGUGUCAGGAAUACAGGAGGCAGUGACUAGAAGGCGCAUGGAUGAUCUUGGAGUUCUUCAGUCAAGCCCUGCUGCUUCCUCUUGGCUGCAGUGUGGGUGUUAGCUCACGGGCAGCAUGCUUCCAGAGUUCAAGGGCAUUCCAUUACAUCAGCAGUCACUGAAGAGAUUUCUGAAUCUCUUAGGGGAUUGCCUUAGGGAAUUUAUUAUGCCAUAGCUGUCACCAGGUUAAUUAGGUGUAGUAGUAGUGGUAGUCAUGGGAAAGGAGUCAAAAACAAGUAGGAUCAAAGGGUUAUUAAUUAUGUUAAAUAUUCCCAUCUUACUAGGAGAAAGUUUACAACAGAGCUGACAUUAAAAAAUCAAGUUUUCACUAAGAAUAUUUUCUAAGUUAUUCAUUUAUCAUUAUUUUGUUCUAAAAAAAAAAAACAAUUAUGCAGAGAGGGAUGGCUGGCAAGAUGGCCAAAUAGAAACAGCUCCAGUCUGCAGCUCCCAGCAAGAUCGACACAGAAGGCAAGUGAUUACUGCAUUUCUAACUGAGAUACCCGCCUCAUCUCACUGGGACUGGUAAGACAGUGAGUGCAGCUCACAAAGAAUGAGUAGAAGCAGGGUAGGGUGGCCUCUCACCUGGGAAAUGCAGGGGGUCUGGGAACUCCCUCCCCUACCCAAGGGAAACUGGGAGAGACUGUGCUGUGAGGAAUGGUGCACUCUGGCCUAAAUACUAUGCUUUUCCCACGGUCUUAGCAACCCACAGACCAGGAGAUUCCCUUGGGUGCCUAUGCCACUGGGGCCCUGGGUUUCAAGCACAAAAUUGGGCAUCCGUUUGGGCAGACAUUGAGCUAGCAGAAGGAGUUAUUUUUCAUAACCUCAGUGGCACUUGAAACACCAGCAAGACAGAACUGUUCACUCCCCUGGAAAGGGGGCUGAAACCAGGGAGCCAAGUGGUCUAGCUCAGCAGAUCCCACCCCCGUGGAGCCCAGCAAGCUAAGAUCCGCUGGCUUGAAAUUCUCACUACUAACACAGCAGUCUCAAGUUGACCUUGAACACUUGAGCUUGGUGAGGGGAGGGGUGUUUGCCAUUUGUGAGGCUUGAGUAGGCGGUUUUACCCUCAUGGUGUAAACAAAGCCACUGAAAAGUUCCAACUGGGUGGAGCCCACUGCAGCUCAGCAAAGCCACUGCAGUCAGACUUCCUCUCUAGAUUCCUUCUUUCUGGGCAGGGCAUUUCUGAGAAAAGGGCAGCAGCCCCAGUCAGGGGCUUAUGGAUAAAACCCCCAUCUCGCUGGGACAGAGCAACUGGGAGAAUGGGUGGCUGUGGACACACCUUCAGCCAACUUAAAUGUCGCUGCCUGCCAGCUCUGAAGACAGCAGCAGAUGUCCCAGGAGUGUUCGAGCUCUACAGACUGCCUCCUCAAGUGGGUCCCUCUCCCCCGUGCCUCCUGAUGGGGACACACCUCCCAGCAGGGGUCAACUGUCACCUCAUACAGAAGAGCUCCAGCUGGCAUUGGCAGGUGCCCCUCUGGGGUGAAGCACUCAGGAAUGAACAGGCAGUGAUUUUUGCUGUUCUGCAGUCUCCGCUAGUGAUACCCAGGCAAACAGGGUCUAGAAUGGACGUCCAGCAAACACCAGCAGAGCUGCAGCAGAGGGGACUGUCUGUUAGAAGGAAAACUAACAGACAAAAAUAACAUCAACAUCAACAAAAAGGACAUCCACUCAGAAACCCCAUCCAAAGGAGCCACCAAAAUCAAAGACCAAAGGUAGAUAAAUCCAGGAAGAUGAGAAAAAAACAGCGCAAAAUGGCUGAAUAUUCCAAAAACAAGAACACUACUACUUCUCCAAAGGAUCACAACUCCUUGUCCGCGAAGGAACAAAACUUGGCAGAGAAUGAGUUUGAUGAACUGACAGAAGUAAACUUCAGAAGGUGGGUAAUAAACUCCUCUGGGCUAAGGAACAUGUUCUAACCCAAUGCAAGGAAGCUAAGAACCUAGAAAAAAGGGUUAGAGAAAUUGCUAACUAGAAUAACCAGUUUAGAGAACAAAAAUGACCUCAUGGAGCUAAAAAACACAGUGGAGAACUUCUUAAAGCAUACACAAUAAACAGCUGAAUGUAUCAAGCGGAAGAAAGGAUACUAGAGAUUAAAGAAAAACUAACGAAAAAAA
ensembl:lncRNA